UACGUAGGGACCGAGCGUUGUCCGGAAUCAUUGGGCGUAAAGAGCGUGUAGGCGGCCACUUAAGUCCUGCGUGAAAUCUUGCGGCUCAACCGCAAGCGGUCGUGGGAAACUGGGUGGCUAGAGUGCGGGAGAGGUGAGUGGAAUUCCCAGUGUAGCGGUGAAAUGCGUAGAUAUUGGGAGGAACACCAGUGGCGAAGGCGGCUCACUGGACCGGAACUGACGCUGAUGCGCGAAAGCGUGGGGAGCAAACGGG
rnacentral:rRNA from 1 species